UACGUAGGGGGCAAGCGUUGUCCGGAAUCAUUGGGCGUAAAGAGCGUGUAGGCGGCCAGGUAGGUCUGCUGUGAAAACUCGAGGCUCAACCUCGAGAUGUCGGCGGAAACCAUCUGGCUAGAGUCCGGAAGAGGAGUGUGGAAUCCCUGGUGUAGCGGUGAAAUGCGCAGAUAUCAGGAGGAACACCAAUGGCGAAGGCAGCACUCUGGGACGUGACUGACGCUGAGACGCGAAAGCGUGGGGAGCAAACAGG
rnacentral:rRNA from 1 species